CAACACCAGGGUCCUUGAUCCCACUUCAGAGCAAUAGAGAAUCAGAGUGAGGUAGGAACUACCAUCCUCUUCUCCUUGCUUCUUCCACAGAGCCCUGGGUGCCAUAGGUGGAAUCAUGCUGGGAUCUGCCACCCUCCUUCUCGCCGUCCUGCUCCCUGCUGGACAGGCGGCACUCUCCCUCGACCAGCCAAUGGUCUCCAUCACCAGACAGGCCGGGAAGUCUGUGAAGAUCCCCUGCGAGCUUUCUCAGAAGAGCAUCACUUACAUCCACUGGUAUCGCCAGCUGCCUGAGAAGGCUCCCCAGCGCCUGCUCUACUAUAACCUGGCCACAAAGAAACAGACGUUGGAUUCAGGAUUUAAUUCAGAAAAAUUCUAUGCUUACAAGUACGAUGAACAAAGUUGUACUCUGGUGGUCCAGAACCUGGGCACCAGUGAUGCUGGCAUCUAUUACUGUGCCAGCUGGGACUCCACGGUGACACAGCUCCCUCUAUUCCCCGUACAAAAAAGUCACAGUCUGUGGUCACCAGGAGCAAGGCCUGCCCCAGACAGCUCCAGCAGUAAACAACAGCUCCAGCUUCAGUCUCCCUGGUAAACUGUGAUGCAUCUCCAGGGCAAACAGAUCUGUCCUGAAGGUAUUUCCCUGCACAUCAAUCUCAGCAGCCCCUUUCACCUUAGCCAGUGGUUGGGCACAGAGCACAAUUCCCAUCAUCUCAGACACGGUUGGCCUCCCAGUCCUGGUCUGACUUAACAGUCACCACCAUCAUCUCUAAGCAGCAGGAUCAUGGUAGGAGACUCUGGCUCUCAUGUCCUGUGGGCUCUGGGACAAACCAGUAUCCUCCCUGAGCCCCCUCCACCCACCCAGGGAUUGCUCUGGGAUCUAAGCCUGUAAACUGGAAGCAACAACCUGGCUGGGACCACCCACGCAGCCAUCUUUCCAUGGAACUUUUCCAGAGA